UGGGGAAUAUUGCACAAUGGGGGAAACCCUGAUGCAGCGACGCCGCGUGAGCGAAGAAGGCUUUCGAGUCGUAAAGCUCUGUCCUAUGAGAAGAUAAUGACGGUAUCAUAGGAGGAAGCCCUGGCUAAAUACGUGCCAGCAGCCGCGGUAAUACGUAUGGGGCGAGCGUUGUCCGGAAUUAUUGGGCGUAAAGGGUACGUAGGCGGUUUUUUAAGUCAGGUGUCAAAGCGUGGAGCUUAACUCCAUUAAGCACUUGAAACUGAAAGACUUGAGUGAAGGAGAGGAAAGUGGAGUUCCUAGUGUAGCGGUGAAAUGCGUAGAUAUUAGGAGGAAUACCGGUGGCGAAGGCGACUAUCUGGAAUUUUUCUGACGCUCAGGUACGAAAGCGUGGGGAGCAAACAGG
rnacentral:rRNA from 1 species